AGAGUGACCGCUUCCUUGUUCAUGUGGUAUGUCAUGCGGAAUUGAUCAUAACAUGAAGGUAAGGAGUGCAAAAUAAUAUCUAUUGCUAGCUCCUCGGGGAAGUUCACAUUAAGCUUCAGCAAGCGGUCCACAAAUCUUUGCAUUUUCUGCAUGUGGCCCGUGAUGGGUUCUCCAUCCUUCAUUUGGGUUGUUCUCAAGGAGGAGAUGAUUUCAUACCUCUCUUGUCGUGCACUUUGAUGGUAUCGUUCCAUCAAAUCUUGGUGCAUUUCAAAAGGGUAGUAGUCCUCGUAGGAAUUUUGGAGGUCGGCUGUCAUAGGGGCCAUCAUGAUGCAUGCCACCUUGGUGGCAUCCCUUUCAUGUGACCUAAAGUCAGCGAUCUCUUGAGGAGUAGCAAAUGUCUCAUCAAUCUCCUUAAGCUCCUUAUCGAGGACAUAUUCUUUGUCCUCGUAGCGGGUAAUCAUUCGGAUGUUUCUGAUCCAUUCAUUAAAGUUGGAUCCAUCAAAAGUGACUUUCCCACACAAGUUCAUAAGAGAAAAGGAGCCACUAGGAUUAGAGCCAGAAGCAGCAGUGUUUGCAGACAUCUAAAAAGAAGAAAAGUUUAGUUUAGAAAUAGAGAUAGUCCUUAAUAAAACACCCAAAUGUAGUAUUAAGGCUAGGACCCAAUCACAAUAUAUUAUACUUAGAAGAGGUAUGUCGUAAUCUAAGUAAUAACAUAUUUGAAAGGUAGGUGAAUGACGAUUCACCAAUUUCCACUAAAGCCGAAAUAUUAAAAAUAUUUAAUUUGGUUUUUGGAAACUCCUAGAUUCUUUUGAGAUUCAAUGAACUUUUCAAAAGCAUGUUUCAAUCUCGAGUGUGCCCUCUAGGUUUUGUGACUGGGUGGUCGAGGAUCACAAAACGAGGUGGGAAGUAACCAUGCAAAUUACUUGGUACCCUUAAUGUAUUACCCCUCAAUCGAUGUCCGAAAUAUUAAAAAUAUUUAAUUUGGUUUUUGGAAACUCCUAGAUUCUUUUGAGAUUCAAUGAACUUUUCAAAAGCAUGUUUCAAUCUCGAGUGUGCCCUCUAGGUUUUGUGACUGGGUGGUCGAGGAUCACAAAACGAGGUGGGAAGUAACCAUGCAAAUUACUUGGUACCCUUAAUGUAUUACCCCUCAAUCGAUGUGCCGGUUAACCACACACGCUCCAUUAACGACUUAGACAAAUUCUAAAGUGUAAUUUCAUAGAUUAGCACCUUAUUUACAUUUUUCCUAAAGUAACUAAGAUUGGGAAUUUAAUAAAACAUUUAGUUACUUUAUAAUAUUCAUCAUACUUUUAAUGAGAAUUUUUAAGUCCUUGUCUUACCCGUUCGGCUAACAACCCUCCACCAGUCAAGCAAGCGGUGGGUGAGAGUGGACACCCAUUAAGUUGCCAUUUUAUAGGCAACAACCUUAUACCCACCUUAUAGACCGGCUUCGUGAAUGAGGCGUACUAGCGGUAAGACUGACUUUACUCUUAUACAUAUAUAUAUUAUUAACUUAUAAUAUUAUAAAGUAUAAGGGUUGAAUUUUAACUUUUAAAAUUCU
rnacentral:lncRNA from 1 species